CCUACGGGAGGCAGCAGUGAGGAAUAUUGGUCAAUGGACGAGAGUCUGAACCAGCCAAGUAGCGUGAAGGAUGACUGCCCUAUGGGUUGUAAACUUCUUUUAUAAAGGAAUAAAACGAGGCACGUGUGCCUUUUUGCAUGUACUCUAUGAAUAAGGAUCGGCUAACUCCGUGCCAGCAGCCGCGGUAAUACGGAGGAUCCGAGCGUUAUCCGGAUUUAUUGGGGUUAAAGGGAGCGUAGAUGGGUUGUUAAGUCAGUUGUGAAAGUUUGCGGCUCAACCGUAAAAUUGCAAUUGAUACUGGCAGUCGUGAGUACAGUUGAGGUAGGCGGAAUUCGUGGUGUAGCGGUGAAAUGCGUAGAUAUCACGAAGAACCCCGAUUGCGAAGGCAGCUUACUAAACUGUGACUGACAUUGAUGCUCGAAAGUGUGGGUAUCAAACAGGAUUAGAUACCCCUGUAGUC
rnacentral:rRNA from 1 species